AAACUCAAAGGAAUUGACGGGGCCCGCACAAGCGGAGGAACAUGUGGUUUAAUUCGAUGAUACGCGAGGAACCUUACCUGGGCUUAAAUGUAGAGUGCAUUUUCUAGAGAUAGGAAUUCCCUUCGGGGCUUUUCUACAAGGUGCUGCAUGGUUGUCGUCAGCUCGUGCCGUGAGGUGUCGGGUUAAGUCCCAUAACGAGCGCAACCCUUAUCGUUAGUUGCCAUCUGGUAAAGCAGGGGACUCUAGCGAAACUGCCACCGUAAGGUGAGAGGAAGGUGGGGAUGACGUCAAAUCAGCACGGCCCUUAUGUCCAGGGCUACACACGUGUUACAAUGGUCGGUACAGAGGGCAGCUACCUGGUGACAGGAUGCUAAUCUCGAAAACCGGCCUCAGUUCGGAUCGAAGUCUGCAACUCGACUUCGUGAAGCUGGAUUCGCUAGUAAUCGCGCAUCAGCCAUGGCGCGGUGAAUACGUUCCCGGGCCUU
rnacentral:rRNA from 1 species